CCACAAGGAGUUUGUAUUCAUGGCUCAGGACGAACGCUGGCGGCGUGCCUAAUACAUGCAAGUCGAGCGGACAGAUGGGAGCUUGCUCCUGAUGUUAGCGGCGGACGGGUGAGUAACACGUGGGUAACCUGCCUGUAAGACUGGGAUAACUCCGGGAAACCGGGGCUAAUACCGGAUGGUUGUUUGAACCGCAUGGUUCAAACAUAAAAGGUGGCUUCGGCUACCACUUACAGAUGGACCCGCGGCGCAUUAGCUAGUUGGUGAGGUAACGGCUCACCAAGGCAACGAUGCGUAGCCGACCUGAGAGGGUGAUCGGCCACACUGGGACUGAGACACGGCCCAGACUCCUACGGGAGGCAGCAGUAGGGAAUCUUCCGCAAUGGACGAAAGUCUGACGGAGCAACGCCGCGUGAGUGAUGAAGGUUUUCGGAUCGUAAAGCUCUGUUGUUAGGGAAGAACAAGUACCGUUCGAAUAGGGCGGUACCUUGACGGUACCUAACCAGAAAGCCACGGCUAACUACGUGCCAGCAGCCGCGGUAAUACGUAGGUGGCAAGCGUUGUCCGGAAUUAUUGGGCGUAAAGGGCUCGCAGGCGGUUUCUUAAGUCUGAUGUGAAAGCCCCCGGCUCAACCGGGGAGGGUCAUUGGAAACUGGGGAACUUGAGUGCAGAAGAGGAGAGUGGAAUUCCACGUGUAGCGGUGAAAUGCGUAGAGAUGUGGAGGAACACCAGUGGCGAAGGCGACUCUCUGGUCUGUAACUGACGCUGAGGAGCGAAAGCGUGGGGAGCGAACAGGAUUAGAUACCCUGGUAGUCCACGCCGUAAACGAUGAGUGCUAAGUGUUAGGGGGUUUCCGCCCCUUAGUGCUGCAGCUAACGCAUAAGCACUCCGCCUGGAGAACUUUCAAACGU
rnacentral:rRNA from 1 species